UACGUAGGGCGCAAGCGUUGUCCGGAAUUAUUGGGCGUAAAGAGCUCGUAGGCGGUCUGUUACGUCCGCUGUGAAAACCCAGGGCUUAACCCUGGGCUUGCAGUGGAUACGGGCAGACUAGAGGCAGGUAGGGGAGAAUGGAAUUCCCGGUGUAGCGGUGAAAUGCGCAGAUAUCAGGAAGAACACCCGUGGCGAAGGCGGCUCUCUGGAACGCAACUGACGCUGAGACGCGAAAGCGUGGGGAGCAAACAGG
rnacentral:rRNA from 1 species